UACGUAGGGUGCAAGCGUUGUCCGGAAUUAUUGGGCGUAAAGAGCUCGUAGGCGGUUUGUUGCGUCGACUGUGAAAACCUGCGGCUCAACCGUGUGGUCUGCAGUCGAUACGGGCAGGCUGGAGUUCGGUAGGGGAGACUGGAAUUCCUGGUGUAGCGGUGAAAUGCGCAGAUAUCAGGAGGAACACCGGUGGCGAAGGCGGGUCUCUGGGCCGAUACUGACGCUGAGGAGCGAAAGCGUGGGGAGCGAACAGG
rnacentral:rRNA from 1 species